UAGGGAAUCUUCCACAAUGGACGCAAGUCUGAUGGAGCAACGCCGCGUGAGUGAAGAAGGUUUUCGGAUCGUAAAGCUCUGUUGUUGGUGAAGAAGGAUAGAGGCAGUAACUGGUCUUUAUUUGACGGUAAUCAACCAGAAAGUCACGGCUAACUACGUGCCAGCAGCCGCGGUAAUACGUAGGUGGCAAGCGUUGUCCGGAUUUAUUGGGCGUAAAGCGAGCGCAGGCGGAAUGAUAAGUCUGAUGUGAAAGCCCACGGCUCAACCGUGGAACUGCAUCGGAAACUGUCAUUCUUGAGUGCAGAAGAGGAGAGUGGAACUCCAUGUGUAGCGGUGGAAUGCGUAGAUAUAUGGAAGAACACCAGUGGCGAAGGCGGCUCUCUGGUCUGCAACUGACGCUGAGGCUCGAAAGCAUGGGUAGCGAACAGGAUUAGAUACCCUGGUAGUCCAUGCCGUAAACGAUGAGCGCUAGGUGUUGGGGACUUUCCGGUCCUCAGUGCCGCAGCAAAACGCAUUAAGCGCUCCGCCUGGGGAGUACGACCGC
rnacentral:rRNA from 1 species